ensembl:lncRNA
CGAAUGAUGACGACAUCAUCACGAUGCGCGCGACGCAGCAAAUAGGAGCCGGUAAUGAGAGCGUGUCCAAUUAGAGAACCAACACCGCGGGGGCAAUCAUCAUUAUUGACAACGACAGCAUGAAGCGUCCUCCUUUGCACUGGAGCCAUUGAUGUCACAUGACCUGCAUCACAUGACAUCGGAUCUGAGGAUGUGAUGCGGCGCGGACUCACCCGACGCUCCCUGUGGUGCUUUGGAGUUUCCGGAGCGUCGGGAUGGCGGUUAUCAAAAGAGCGUGUACAUUGAUGCAUCGUAACGGGGGAAUAAAGGCAUUGUUCACAACACAUCCUCCAGUCACCCAGAAGAGGCCAGAGAACGUCCACACGGUGAAUCCCAUUCCGCCACACAUCUCAAUUGUUUUGAGACUUCGGGAAUCGGGACAAUUCAUGUUUUUCCUUUAUUUUUAUUUUCUCAUGUCAACCGAC